UACGGAGGGUGUAAGCGUUGUCCGGAAUCACUGGGCGUAAAGGGCGCGUAGGCGGCUCAUGAAGGCUGUGGUGAAAGUCCGGGGCUCAACCUCGGAUCGGCCGUGGCGACUCGUGGGCUGGAGCACUGUAGAGGCGGGUGGAAUUCCGGGUGUAGCGGUGGAAUGCGUAGAGAUCCGGAAGAACACCAGUGGCGAAGGCGGCCCGCUGGGCAGUGGCUGACGCUGAGGCGCGACAGCGUGGGGAGCAAACAGG
rnacentral:rRNA from 1 species